rnacentral:sRNA from 1 species
UUUCUACAAAUGAUUGAAUAAAGUCUAAAAUCCCAUAUUUUAUUCCAAAAUCAAGAGAAUUUUUAAAACCCACACCCGUCAGGUUUUAGCACUAAACCCAAACCAAAAAAAUGUUCGGGUCACGGUUCAACCGGUCGGACCGGGCGUGAAAAUACUGGUUUUUAGAGUUUUUUUGUUAUUUCUAGACUCUUUUAUAGUCUUUUUCAGGUCUUUACAUGUUUGGGAUGCAUUUUGAGAUUAUGGAACAUUCUGGAUCAAAACAGAGAACUUAUGAUGCAAAAGCAAUCUGGAGACGUAAAUUUGCGUAGGUGUCAAUCGACACCACCCCUAGUGUCAAGGGACACCAAUAUCUGACGGCAAUUCAAUUUCGCAACUUAUU